UAGAGUCAUGAUUGAGCCGGAUGGAUCAUCGUGGCAUCCUGCAAAGGAUGCUGCUCGGGCUUUAAAAGAUUGUGUUAGAAGACUCUAUACACAAGCUUAUCACUCUUGGAGCGAGAUUCCAAACAGUAUACGCCAGACGAUGUUUAAUAACUUUAAGACUAUGUGUACUUGGGAGUCGAGGUACAAUUUGGUCAUUGGGACCACAUUUGAGAGGAAGGCAUCCGCUAGACU